ACCCUCUUGAUCCAUUGAUCAUCCAAUGGUAUCAGACAUGGACAUGUUCAUCAAUGAUUGUCUUUAAUUGUGCAGGAUUGUGUCGUGACAGGAUGGCAUUGCUGCUGUUGAUCGACCAAUCAUUCUUUUGU
rnacentral:misc_RNA from 1 species